GGCGGUUGAGUCGACUCAUUGGAGUUGAAGUGGGGUGGAGAGAGUACGGUUUUUGAGUUAGGAGAGUUUAAAACCCUAGAGAGUGUUGCAGUUGAGGAAGUUCUUGAAGGUGAAAAAGAAAGUGUUGGGUCUGAGAUAAACCCUUGCUUUAUCAUCGUUGACACUUCUCUUGAUGCUGUCAUUUCAAUUCAAUUCAACUCGCCUUAAGAGUAUAG
rnacentral:misc_RNA from 1 species